rnacentral:rRNA from 1 species
CAGCAGCCACGGGAAUACGGAGGGGGCUAGCGUUGUUCGGAAUUACUGGGCGUAAAGCGCACGUAGGGGGCUUGGUAAGUUAGAGGUGAAAGCCUGGAGCUCAACUCCAGAAUUGCCUUUAAGACUGCCGAGCUAGCAGGUGAGAGAGGUAAGUGGAAUUCCGAGUGUAGAGGUGAAAUUCGUAGAUAUUCGGAAGAACACCAGUGGCGAAGGCGGCUUACUGGCUCAUACUGGACGCUGAGGUGCGAAAGCGUGGGGAGCAAACAGGAUUAGAUACCCCGGUAGUCCCUGUCUCUUAUAC